GAGUGGCGGACGGGUGAGUAAUGCUUGGGAACUUGCCUUUGCGAGGGGGAUAACAGUUGGAAACGACUGCUAAUACCGCAUAAUGUCUUCGGACCAAACGGGGCUUCGGCUCCGGCGCAAAGAGAGGCCCAAGUGAGAUUAGCUAGUUGGUAAGGUAACGGCUUACCAAGGCGACGAUCUCUAGCUGUUCUGAGAGGAAGAUCAGCCACACUGGGACUGAGACACGGCCCAGACUCCUACGGGAGGCAGCAGUGGGGAAUAUUGCACAAUGGGGGAAACCCUGAUGCAGCCAUGCCGCGUGUGUGAAGAAGGCCUUCGGGUUGUAAAGCACUUUCAGUUGUGAGGAAAAGUUAGUAGUUAAUACCUGCUAGCCGUGACGUUAACAACAGAAGAAGCACCGGCUAACUCCGUGCCAGCAGCCGCGGUAAUACGGAGGGUGCGAGCGUUAAUCGGAAUUACUGGGCGUAAAGCGCACGCAGGCGGUUUGUUAAGCUAGAUGUGAAAGCCCCGGGCUCAACCUGGGAUGGUCAUUUAGAACUGGCAGACUAGAGUCUUGGAGAGGGGAGUGGAAUUCCAGGUGUAGCGGUGAAAUGCGUAGAUAUCUGGAGGAACAUCAGUGGCGAAGGCGACUCCCUGGCCAAAGACUGACGCUCAUGUGCGAAAGUGUGGGUAGCGAACAGGAUUAGAUACCCUGGUAGUCCACACCGUAAACGCUGUCUACUAGCUGUGUGUGCCUUUAAGNACGUGCGUAGCGAAGCUAACGCGCUAAGUAGACCGCCUGGGGGAGUACGGCCGCAAGGUUAAAACUCAAAUGAAUUGACGGGGGG
rnacentral:rRNA from 1 species